rnacentral:rRNA from 1 species
UACGAAGGGGGCUAGCGUUGCUCGGAAUCACUGGGCGUAAAGGGCGCGUAGGCGGCGUUUUAAGUCGGGGGUGAAAGCCUGUGGCUCAACCACAGAAUGGCCUUCGAUACUGGGACGCUUGAGUAUGGUAGUGGUUGGUGGAACUGCGAGUGUAGAGGUGAAAUUCGUAGAUAUUCGCAAGAACACCGGUGGCGAAGGCGGCCAACUGGACCAUUACUGACGCUGAGGCACGAAAGCGUGGGGAGCAAACAGG